rnacentral:rRNA from 1 species
CCUACGGGUGGCAGCAGUGAGGAAUAUUGGUCAAUGGACGAGAGUCUGAACCAGCCAAGUCGCGUGAAGGAUGACUGCCCUACGGGUUGUAAACUUCUUUUAUAGAGGAGUAAAACGAGGCACGUGUGCCUUUUUGCAUGUACUCUAUGAAUAAGGAUCGGCUAACUCCGUGCCAGCAGCCGCGGUAAUACGGAGGAUCCGAGCGUUAUCCGGAUUUAUUGGGUUUAAAGGGAGCGUAGUCGGGUGGUUAAGUCAGUUGUGAAAGUUUGCGGCUCAACCGUAGACUUGCAAUUGAUACUGGCAGUCUUGAGUGCAGGUGAGGUAGGCGGAAUGCGUGGUGUAGCGGUGAAAUGCUUAGAUAUCACGAAGAACCCCGAUUGCGAAGGCAGCUUACUAAACUGUGACUGACAUUGAUGCUCGAAAGUGUGGGUAUCAAACAGGAUUAGAUACCCGUGUAGUC